GUAGGGAAUAUUGGGCAAUGGAUGCAAGUCUGACCCAGCCAUCCCGCGUGCCGGAAGAAGGCCCUCAGGGUUGUAAACGGCUUUUGACGGUGAAGAAUCGACAGGAUGCGUCCUGUUUUGACGGUAGCCGUUGAAUAAGCACCGGCUAACUCCGUGCCAGCAGCCGCGGUAAUACGGAGGGUGCGAGCGUUGUCCGGAUUUAUUGGGUUUAAAGGGUGCGUAGGCUGGAAGGUCAGUCAGCGGUGAAAAGCUGUCGCUUAACGAUAGUCUUGCCGCAGAUACUUCCUUUCUUGGAUGAGGAGGAGGCCACUGGAACGGAUGGUGUAGCGGUGAAAUGCAUGGAUAUCAGCCAGAACACCGAUUGCGAAGGCAGGUGGCUGUACCUUAAUCGACGCUGAUGCACGAAAGCAUGGGGAGCAAACAGGAUUAGAAACCCCUGUAGUCC
rnacentral:rRNA from 1 species